rnacentral:lncRNA from 1 species
UGUUUGUGAAGCUUGCCAGUGUUAAUUGGACAUUGUAUCCCCAGAAAUUAUAGCAGAAAUAGGCUGCAGUGACCCUAAUCCAAUUUAUAAGUUUGCUUCGGUACUUCUGGUGAGAUUCUUGUAUGCACAGGGCAUUAAAGGUAAUCUUUCUUAUGCCCACAGAAAGUCAAAGACAAGGAAAAUUUCACCCCGAGACACUUGCUUCUAAUCAAACCCUAAAUGGUAGAAUGUAGGAUAGCUGUCCUUGAAAAUAGGUUUUGAUUUUUUUCAGUGCAUUCAAAAGAAAUCUUUUAGCAGAAUGGCUAUAGAAUAGUGAAGAUAGGAAUUAAUUUAGGUAAACAAAAAUGCCAUUUUUAACUCAGACCAUUUUAAGAGUUUUAAAUUAUCCUGCAGCAGGGCUUAAAAUGACCAUUGUAUUUCUUGUAUGUGAAACAAUACUUAUUAUUUGGUAAAACACUACAGGUUCCCACAAGAAACAAUGGAUUUCCCCUCUCACCUCAAGACUCUGCAGAGUGUUCCAUGUGAUAACCCUUCCUAGUUAAUGACUUCUAAACAUUUGCCAUAUCACAGCGUCUCCUUGCCAGCUCUUCCUACCAUUUUCUUUCCCUCACACUGCCAGUAGAUGGUCUAAAAAUACAAACUACACUGACUGGAAGCUCAGAUGUGAACACUGUAAGCACAAAUACUGGAGAUGCUAAUCUGCAUAUUUAAGAGAAUGGGGCUGGCUGGGACUUUAUAUUGUAAUAAAUAUAAUUGGAUGCAGUUAUAGACGUAUUGACAGUCCAUAUAUUGUUCUUUUGCAAGGGUUUAACAACUUUUUUUUAAAAAGUAGCAGAUUUGGAGCUGGCUAUAAGAACCACUCCUGUCUCUUCCAGUGCCAUCUGCACAGCAAUGCUCACAAGCCUGGGCCAGAAGCCAUUGCUAGGCUGGACCACUGGAUUCCUCUCUGUCAUGGCCACAGGUAAAUGGGUGUGCUUGAAACAAACACCAAUGGAAAAAUGUAUGUAGCCUAAACUCUCUAUGUCCUAAGUUCACAUAUCAACUGUCUAUAGAAUAUAUGUUUCUUUCUUACAACAUUCCCGAUGUUCAACAUGGUGAUAUCAGAAUCAUUAACCAUGUUUGGAUUCUCAUUUGAUUGUUCUCCUGUAUAGAGUCCGACAUCUACCUGUGUACUGAAGCCAAAGCACCACGUUCUUUACC